rnacentral:rRNA from 1 species
GUGCCAGCCGCCGCGGUAAUACGUAGGUGGCAAGCGUUGUCCGGAUUUAUUGGGCGUAAAGCGAGCGCAGGCGGUUUCUUAAGUCUGAUGUGAAAGCCUUCGGCUCAACCGAAGAAGUGCAUCGGAAACUGGGAAACUUGAGUGCAGAAGAGGACAGUGGAACUCCAUGUGUAGCGGUGAAAUGCGUAGAUAUAUGGAAGAACACCAGUGGCGAAGGCGGCUGUCUGGUCUGUAACUGACGCUGAGGCUCGAAAGCAUGGGUAGCAAACAGGAUUAGAUACCCUGGUAGUCCAUGCCGUAAACGGUGAGUGCUAGGUGUUGGAGGGUUUCCGCCCUUCAGUGCCGCAGCUAACGCAUUAAGCACUCCGCCUGGGGAGUACGACCGCAAGGUUGAAACUCAAAGGAAUUGACGGGGGCCCGCACAAGCGGUGGAGCAUGUGGUUUAAUUCGAAGCAACGCGAAGAACCUUACCAGGUCUUGACAUCCUUUGACCACUCUAGAGAUAGAGCUUUCCCUUCGGGGACAAAGUGACAGGUGGUGCAUGGUUGUCGUCAGCUCGUGUCGUGAGAUGUUGGGUUAAGUCCCGCAACGAGCGCAACCCUUAUUACUAGUUGCCAGCAUUAAGUUGGGCACUCUAGUGAGACUGCCGGUGACAAACCGGAGGAAGGUGGGGACGACGUCAAAUCAUCAUGCCCCUUAUGACCUGGGCUACACACGUGCUACAAUGGAUGGUACAACGAGUUGCGAGACCGCGAGGUUUAGCUAAUCUCUUAAAACCAUUCUCAGUUCGGAUUGUAGGCUGCAACUCGCCUACAUGAAGCCGGAAUCGCUAGUAAUCGCGGAUCAGCAUGCCGCGGUGAAUACGUUCCCGGGCCUUGUACACACCGCCCGU